CGCGUAGGCGGCCGCCUAAGCGGAACCUCUAAUCCCGGGGCUCAACCUCGGGCCGGGUUCCGGACUGGGCGGCUCGAGUGCGGUAGAGGCAGGCGGAAUUCCCGGUGUAGCGGUGGAAUGCGCAGAUAUCGGGAAGAACACCGAUGGCGAAGGCAGCCUGCUGGGCCGCCACUGACGCUGGGGCGCGAAAGCUGGGGGAGCGAACA
rnacentral:rRNA from 1 species